rnacentral:rRNA from 1 species
UCUACGGGUGGCAGCAGUAAGGAAUAUUGGACAAUGCCCGCAAGGGUGAUCCAGCCAUGCCGCGUGCAGGAAGACGGACCUAUGGUUUGUAAACUGCUUUUGAACAAGAGAAAACCCCCUUACGUGUAAGGGGCUGAUAGUAUUGUUAGAAUAAGCAUCGGCUAACUUCGUGCCAGCAGCCGCGGUAAGACGAAGGAUGCAAGCGUUAUCCGGUUUCAUUGGGUUUAAGGCGGCUUGAGGAGGCAUGGUAGAAAUCUUCUCGCUUAACGAGAAAACUGCCAUUGAUACUGUCAAGCUUGAGUACAGUUGCCGUUGGCGGAAUAUGACAUGUAGUGGUGAAAUACAUAGAGAUGUCAUAGAACACCGAUUGCGAAGGCAGCUAACGAAACUGUAACUGACGCUGAGGCUCGAAAGUGCGGGGAUCAAACAGGAUUAGAUACCCCGGUAGUC